AUAUCUCGAAACCCCUCUUCCACCCGCAGCUCCAGCUCCCCACUCCCCUCAGUUCGAUCACCCCCAAUCCCCUCCUCUCAAAUUGCCAUGGCAAGAACACGAGAACCCUAGCCACGUCUAGACAAAAACAAGCAACAAUCUGCUGGUUUGAAGGGGCUUUCAAUACAACCACACCAUCAGGAGUUCCAUGGCAAUCUAUACCGGAAGAAACUAACUAUACUCCACAUCCAGGACACCAACAUCAAGUAACAGGAGAAAUUCAAGGGGAAGAAGGGUGGACUAAGAACUUACGAAGAAUGCAAGAGCAGUGACUAGAUGAUGCUCGCGCUGACAAUGGGGAACACAUCUACAUCCUAUUACACCGGAGCUUCUACUUCAUUUGGACACGGCAUAAGUGCGUAUGCACGAGGAGAAGUUUCUAAGGUGAAUGACAAGAAUAUGCUAAUUCUCGGGAAAGCAGCCAAGUAGCUAACCUUGACGUCGGUUAUUUGCCGAACUUAGGGGAACUACUUUUGCUACACCUUGUGCAUCAACCAAACCAUGCACAAGGAGAUAUCGCAUGUGGAGGAGUGAUCACCAUAUCGGUUAACUCCCUUGGCCUCAAAUAGAAUCACCUUCGCCCCCAUUGUCGGUAACAACCUUGUUAACAUCCGUCUUCUUACUAGCGCUGGAAUGGUAGUAGUUAGCCAUGGUCGUCAUUGCAUUAAAAUUCCAGGUGUUGGGUACUUGUUGCCUACUCCUAUGCCUAAAUGUUUCUCCAUAGAAAAUAGACAAUUGCAUUAUGUACCACAAGAAGGAGAUGCAACUUUUGACCAAGAAGGCCAAGAACCUGAACAAGUAGAUGAAGAUGAAUUUGCCACCAACAAAGAGGAGGAGCAUCCAUAAGAGCAACCACAACAAGAAGCCUACACCACCUAUACGGACCUCUACAUUCUCCAAGGCUCUAUCCAUGAUAUGUGCAACCUUGCCGAGUCCCUUCAAGACACGUUCGCCUACAUGAACAUCAGCUUCUCCAACUGGAGACAAGGAUGGGCUCCUGACCAACCGCCACAAUGAUCUCGCCGGUUUGGGCUUGCAAAAGCUAAAUCUUGGAGAGGCCACUACCACGUCUACAUCAAGAUAUGGCAAUAUUAUUUGAAUAAAUUGUAAUGAGGUUGUACUUCGGCACA